GGUUAAGUGACUAAGCGUACACGGUGGAUGCCUGGGCAGUCAGAGGCGAUGAAGGACGUACUAACUUGCGAUAAGCGCAGAUAAGGCAGUAAGAGCCGUUUGAGUCUGCGAUUUCCGAAUGGGGAAACCCAACUGCAUAAGCAGUUACUGUUAACUGAAUACAUAGGUUAACAGAGCAAACCGGGGGAACUGAAACAUCUAAGUACCCCGAGGAGAAGAAAUCAACCGAGAUUCCGGUAGUAGCGGCGAGCGAACCUGGAUUAGCCCUUAAGCACUCGGUGAAGUAGGUGAACAAGCUGGAAAGCUUGGCGAUACAGGGUGAUAGCCCCGUAACCGACGCUUCAUCGAGCGUGAAAUCGAGUAGGGCGGGACACGUGAUAUCCUGUCUGAAUAUGGGGGGACCAUCCUCCAAGGCUAAAUACUCCUGACUGACCGAUAGUGAACCAGUACCGUGAGGGAAAGGCGAAAAGAACCCCUGUGAGGGGAGUGAAAUAGAACCUGAAACCGUGUACGUACAAGCAGUAGGAGCACCUUCGUGGUGUGACUGCGUACCUUUUGUAUAAUGGGUCAGCGACUUAUAUUCAGUGGCAAGGUUAACCGUAUAGGGGAGCCGUAGCGAAAGCGAGUCUUAACUGGGCGCUCAGUCUCUGGAUAUAGACCCG
rnacentral:rRNA from 1 species